rnacentral:rRNA from 1 species
ACUCAAAUGAAUUGACGGGGGCCCGCACAAGCGGUGGAACAUGUGGCUUAAUUCGAUGCAACGCGAAGAACCUUACCUGGUUUUGACAUGCAGUGGACAGAGUGUGAAAGCACUUCUCCUUUCGGGGCUGCUGCACAGGUGCUGCAUGGCUGUCGUCAGCUCGUGUCGUGAGAUGUUCGGUUAAGUCCGUCAACGAGCGCAACCCUUGUCCUUAGUUGCCAGCGGGUAAUGCCGGGGACUUUAAGGAGACAAACCUCUUUUAGAGGUGGGAAGGUGGGGAUGACGUCAAGUCAGCAUGGCCCUUACAACCAGGGCUGCACACGUGUUACAAUGCCCAGUACAGAAGGACGCAAGACCGCGAGGUGGAGCAAAUCCCAAAAGCUGGGCCCAGUUCAGAUUGAAGUCUGCAACUCGACUUCAUGAAGCCGGAAUCGCUAGUAAUGGCGUAUCAGCUACGACGCCGUGAAUACGUUCUCGGGCCUUGUACACACCGCCCGU